UUCCGUCGUCUCCUGCAAGGCCAGCCUGGUACGUGUUUGCUGCUGCGGGUCUUAUGAAACCGGCGCGACUCAUGAAGGUGUUCGUCACUGGCCCGUUGCCUGCCGAGGGCAGGGCUGCGCUCGCCCAGGCCGCAGACUGUGAGGUGGAACAGUGGAAUUCGGAUGAUCCCAUCCCCAGAAAGGAUCUGGAGCAAGGUGUGGUGGGGGCCCAUGGCUUGCUCUGCCGCCUCUCUGACCGUGUGGACAAGAAACUUCUGGAUGCCGCAGGAGCCAACCUCAGAGUCAUCAGCACCCUGUCUGUGGGGGUCGACCACUUGGCUUUGGAUGAAAUCAAGAAGCGCGGGAUCCGGGUGGGCUACACGCCAGGUGUCCUGACAGAUGCCACUGCAGAACUCGCCGUCUCCCUCCUCCUCACCACCUGCCGCCGGUUGCCGGAGGCCAUAGAGGAAGUAAAGAAUGGCGGCUGGAGCUCCUGGAGCCCCUUAUGGAUGUGCGGCUACGGACUCUCGCAGAGCACUGUUGGCAUUGUGGGGCUGGGGCGCAUAGGUCAGGCCAUCGCUCGACGACUGAAACCAUUCGGUGUUCAGAGAUUUCUUUACACGGGGCGCCAGCCCAGGCCUCAGGAAGCAGCCGAGUUUCAGGCAGAGUUUGUGCCUAUUGCUCAGCUGGCCGCAGAGUCAGACUUCAUCGUUGUGUCCUGCUCCUUAACACCCGCUACCAUGGGGCUCUGCAACAAGGAUUUCUUCCAGAAGAUGAAGAACACAGCUAUCUUCAUCAAUAUCAGCAGAGGAGAUGUGGUAAACCAGGAAGACCUGUACCAGGCACUAGCCAGUGGUCAGAUUGCAGCAGCAGGACUGGAUGUGACCACCCCUGAACCACUGCCUCCUAGCCACCCCCUGCUGACCCUCAAGAACUGCGUGAUCCUGCCCCACAUUGGCAGUGCCACCUACAAAACUCGCAACACCAUGUCCUUGCUGGCGGCUAACAACUUGCUGGCUGGCCUAAGAGGGGAGGCCAUGCCCAGCGAACUCGAGCUGUAACCAGAUGGGCUUUCAUGGGCUGGAGACAUCUUGCCGGACAGAGCCAAGCUGGACUUCGGACUUUGAUAGCACCAAGUCACCUGGUUACACACGGUAUGUUCUGCAUUGCUGUACAGGGAUGGAAUACUCCCAUCACAGGAUACAGGACAUUUAAUUAAAUGCUUCACAGAGCUUUAAAAUAGUGUUAAAAUGUUUUCUGCACUUUCAUUUUUAAAUUCGAUAUUCUUAACAACAGUGACAACCUACUUUAGGACUGCAUUCCUCCACCCUAAGAAAUGUGCAGGUUAGUAAGGGCUACACCUAACAGUUCUCUGCUUACUCUCGGCUGAAAUUCAUGAGAGCCACUGGGCAGUGAGACCGAGUCCAGUGACAAGAGCUGCCUGCCUACAGCGGUUUUAGUUUCAGUGCAGACUGGCCUGUGCGCUGUGGCGAGGAGCGAUCAGAGCAGGGUGCUCGGGAGGUUGCUGCUCUGCCAGCGCAGGCAGGUCGUUUUCGAGUGUUUGUACAGGUGGCUGGACUGACUGAACCGUUUGCCACACUUGAGGCAGGCGUACGGCUUUUCUCCCGUGUGGACCCGGAUGUGCUUCUUGCAGUCCGUCAGAGUCAGGAAGGUUUUACAGCAGAUUUUGCAGGCAUACUUUCGAGCUCCCUCCACAACCAAGACAUUGUGCUCCGAUAAGGCCUUCUUGCACUUUGACAAGACAUCAGCAGACGCCCUGGUCAACUGCGGAGGGCCAGGCUGGGAGGUGUGGCCAUUUUCAAAUGAGGUGGCCCCGUUCAUCAUUAGCUGGGAACUGGCUGAGUUUUCAGAGAUCUGUGAGCUCCUGACAGAAGUUACCACUGGCAUUUUUGGAGCUAUUCGUCGGUAAUAUGGAAAGUUACUGGCCCCUCCUCGUGGGGAACCCAUCAUGGCCCUGGAGAAGGAAGAGUGGAGACCCAAGCCAGACCUGGAAAAAUCCAUCCCGAAUUGUUCUCCUUGGUAGCCUGAGGUCUGCACACAGGGCAGGCCCAUCACCUCCUGCAUAGGUCUGACGAAGUGGGAGUCUGCAGGCUCACUGAACGGGUUCUCUACAUGGGAACCAGGGGCAGAGGAAGGCCCACUUGCUGGCCCAGCCUCUGGACUCAACAGAUUAUUCGUGACUUCCAAGAUGUGGAUGUCCCCGACCCUGUCGGUGCUGGACUGGGGAUCGGAAAAGCUCCGGUCACUGCUUUCAGGGCUGAGGUCUAUCUUCUCGGCACUGACCACCACUCCUUCCACCUCCACAGACUCACUGCCCUCUGCUUGGGAGGUCACGUCACUCACUUCAUCCUGCGGCUCAGGAGAGCUCAGGGGCUCCGAUUUCACCACCACUCUCAUGUGCUCCUUCUCCCCGAGGCCAACCUCAGGAUUUUCACACUGGAAACUGCCUUUCUCAGCCACAGCCUCUUGUUCAAAACUCGUUUCAACCUGAGUUGCACGAGAGGCCAUGUUGCCAGCACUGCCAUCUGACUGGCUGGGCACUUGAGCAUCUUCUUGGGCACCAAAAGGCCGAUCAAACAUCAUGGCACUGUCUUCCUGGUUGUCAGCCAUCCCAUCGGGUUUAGGAUUAUCCACAAUUUUCAGAGAAUCCGGUGAGAAGAAUUCCUCCCGGGAAUGAACUCCCGCAGGCCCGCUCUCUGGAGCAACAUCUGAAAUGGCAGAUUCCUCCAUGGAGGGUCGCAGGCGCUGCCGGGCCCGCUCCUCUACGGACUGUUUGCGCUUGUGAAGGCGUCUCAUGGGGAAGGGGGUCCGCUGGUCCAGGCUACUGCGCAUGGAUGAGCUCAUAGGGGCUGUCGGCUCCUCCGCACUCUGGCUGGAACUGAGGGCUGAGCUCACAAUGCUGAGUCCCAGCUGCUGCAGCAUAAAAGAGCGCUGCAUGCGGGCACUCUGCUCCUGAGCACGCUCACUAGAGGGAGACAUGGGGAGCGUCCUUGUCGUCAGGUAAUGUUUACAUGCCUUAACAACAGAGUUCAGAUGCAGGUGAGAGGCUGCCAAUAAGACAUCCAUAACGUUGCUCUCCCCUAGCAUGAGGGUGGAGGUAUACAUCAUGUCAAUCAGGGCGGCGAAGGCCUCGGCUGUCACCACCUCACUAUCUAGCUGGAUCAUGUUCAUGGUCUGAUCUCCUUCCGCCACCGAGAACAGUGCUCGGAAAUGCGUACUGCAUGCUGCCAGCACGGAGCGGUGGGCUUUGAAAUGCCUGUUCCCCACUACAAUGACACAGUCACACAGCUGCCCAUGAAGUCUCUGGUAGUUCAGCUGCUGAAAGAUCUGCUCAAAGUGACCAGGAAAAUCCAUUGUCCUAUACAAGACACAAAGGAAAAAGGGUUAAGACCUAACAAAGCUUAACUCAGAACCAGAACAUAGAAUGCACUAAGAGAGGUGUGGAAGCCGGGCCAUGGAGGUGUAAGCCUUUAAUCUCUGAGUUCAAGGCCAGCCUGAUCUACAAAGUAAGUUCCAGGACAGCCAGGGCUUCACAGAGAAACCCUGUCUCGAAAAAAAGGGGGCUUGGUGGGGCGGGUCAGGGCUGACAAGAAGGUUCAGCCAGUUAAUAUUCCUAUACCAAGCUUAACAAACUUAAGUUCCAUCCCUGAGUCCCACAUAGAGGAAGAGGAGAAGAACCAACUCCCAAAAGCUGUGCUGUGACCACUAAACACCCAUCAGGGGACAUCGACAUAUGUACACACACAAAUAAGUGCAAUUUUAAAGAAUGGCCGGCCACAUUUGGAGCUUUUAAAGCUUGUGACAUCUAAUAAUGGGCCCGAAUAUAAGACCUGUCAACUAUGGAGCAAAAGUCAGUUCAGCUCAAGCUCCAGAUCCAUUAGCCCUUCAUGGAACUUGCUUAGAACACUGAGGUCUCUGUUAAAAAAGCCCCACUGAAAGGCUGAAUUGCUCCACUGAAAUUUGUUAGCAUUCAGCAUUUCCUA